rnacentral:lncRNA from 1 species
AGCUGACUUGCUGAGUCUUCUGGCCUCCAUCUUUCUUCCAUGCUAGAUGCUUCCUGCCCUGGAACAUCGGACUCCAAGUUCUUUGGCUUUUGGACUCUUGGGCUUACACCAGUGGCUCUCAGGUGUUUGCCCACAGACUGAAGCCUGCACUGUAAGCUACUCUACGUUUGAGGUUUUGGGACUUGGACUGAGCCACUACUGGCUUCCUUCCUCUUCAAUUUGCAGACAGCCUGUUGUGGGACUUCACCUUGUGAUUGCAAUCCACGCUCCUUACCAUGUGAAUUUGCUGUUCCUCCUAUUCAAGAGCCAGAGCGUAUUUCCCCUGCCCUUUGAAUUUAUGCUCAGCCGUGGACUUGCUUUGGCCAAUAGAUUGAGGUGGAAUUGAAGGAACAGCCACUCUACGCCUAAGCCGCGAGAGACUUUGUGUUUCCACUUGCUCGGCAAGCCCACUGAUCCCAAGAGGAGGAUGAGAGACUCAUGGACAGAGCUGAGCUGCCCCAAUGAGCCAGACCCACAGACCCGUGAGUUAAAUAAAUGCUGAUGGGUGUAUGCCGCUGAUGAGUUGUUAUGGAUGUUUGUUAUGCAACAAUA